UAGGGAAUCUUCGGCAAUGGACGAAAGUCUGACCGAGCAACGCCGCGUGAGUGAAGAAGGUUUUCGGAUCGUAAAACUCUGUUGUUAGAGAAGAACAAGGACGUUAGUAACUGAACGUCCCCUGACGGUAUCUAACCAGAAAGCCACGGCUAACUACGUGCCAGCAGCCGCGGUAAUACGUAGGUGGCAAGCGUUGUCCGGAUUUAUUGGGCGUAAUGCGAGCGCAGGCGGUUUCUUAAGUCUGAUGUGAAAGCCCCCGGCUCAACCGGGGAGGGUCAUUGGAAACUGGGAGACUUGGGUGCAGAAGAGGAGAGUGGAAUUCCAUGUGUAGCGGUGAAAUGCGUAGAUAUAUGGAGGAACACCAGUGGCGAAGGCGGCUCUCUGGUCUGUAACUGACGCUGAGGCUCGAAAGCGUGGGGAGCAAACAGG
rnacentral:rRNA from 1 species